UACAGAGGGUGCAAGCGUUAAUCGGAGUUACUGGGCGUAAAGGGCGCGUAGGUGGUUUAUCAAGUGAGAUGUGAAAUCCCUGGGCUUAACCUAGGAAAGUCAUCUUAGACUGGUAGACUGGAGUGCAGAAGAGGGUAGUGGAAUUUCCGGUGUAGCGGUGAAAUGCGUAGAGAUCGGAAGGAACAUCAGUGGCGAAGGCGGCUACCUGGACUGACACUGACACUGAGGCGCGAAAGCGUGGGGAGCAAACAGG
rnacentral:rRNA from 1 species